UACGUAGGGGGCAAGCGUUGUCCGGAUUUAUUGGGCGUAAAGAGCGUGUAGGCGGCCUGACAGGUCUGCUGUGAAAACCUGAGGCUCAACCUCAGGCCUGCAGUCGAUACGGGCGGACUUGAGUUCGGCAGGGGAGACUGGAAUUCCUGGUGUAGCGGUGAAAUGCGCAGAUAUCAGGAGGAACACCGGUGGCGAAGGCGGGUCUCUGGGCCGAAACUGACGCUGAGGAGCGAAAGCGUGGGGAGCGAACAGG
rnacentral:rRNA from 1 species